rnacentral:tRNA from 1 species
GGGGCUGUAGCUCACUUGGGAGAGCGCCUGUCUGGCAGACAGGAGGUAGCGGGUUCGACCCCCGCCAGCUCCACCA